AACGAAAUAUCCCUCCCUGAUUGGUUGCCUGUUUCAUGCUAACUUACGUGUGAUUGGCUGUCCCCGCUGUCACUCCUUCUGCUUGUAAAAGCUAGCCUACAUUCUAGUUGCUAGCGACCGGACGAGAGGCAGUGCAACUGUCAGUGUUUUGAAGGAUGUCAAUGAAAAGAAAACUGGAUGUAAGAGACUUCUUUAGGAGUCAAACUGUGACAGACAGCAGAGAGCCUGGAGGAGAUGGAGGAGGAGAGGCCAGAGAAGUUAGAGGAAGAGAGGCAGGAGGAAGUAGAGAAGGAGAGGCUGGAGCAGAUGAAGGAAGAGAGGCAGGAGGAGGUAGAGAAGGAGAGGCUGGAGCAGAUGAAGGAAGAGAGGCAGGAGGAGGUAGAGAAGGAGAGGUUGGAGCAGAUGAAGGAAGAGAAGCUGAAAGAGAGGCUGCAAAUUCACAGGUGAGGUUAAAUAAUGAUGACAGCCCUCCAAGGUACGACAAAGAAAUCUAUUCCCGCGCCACAAAUAAUUUUUUGGUGACUUAACCCCCAAUUCCAAUCCUUGAUGCUGAGUGCUAAGCAGGGAGGUAAUGCGUCCCAUUUUUUUAGUCUUUGGUAUGUGAUAUAUUAUAUAUGAUUUAUAGUGUAUGAUGUAUGGUAUAUAAUGUAUGAUGUAUGAUAUAUUAUAUAUGACGUAUUAUAUAUAAUGCAUGAUGUAUGAUGUAUGAUAUACAGUAUGACGUAUGAUGUAUGAUUUAUGAUGUAUUAUAUAUAAUGUAUGAUGUAAGAUGCAUGAUAUGUAAUGUGUGAUUUUUGAUGUAUGAUAUGUGAUAUAAUAUGUAUUAUAUAUGAUGUAUGAUACAUGAUGUAGUAUACAUUAUUUAUGAUGUCUGAUGUAUGUUAUGUGAUAUAUGAUAUAUGUGAUACAUGAUGUAUGAUGUAUAAUGUAUACUGGAUAAUGUAUGAUGUAUGAUAUAUGAUGCAUGAUAUAUGAUAUAUGAUGUAUGAUGAAUGAUGUAUGAUGUAUAAUGUAUGAUGUAUGAUGUAUGGUGCAUGAUGUAUGAUAUAUGAUGCAUAAUAUAUAAUGUAUGAUGUAUAAUGUAUGAUGUAUAAUGUAUGAUGUAUGGUGCAUGGUGUAUGGCAGGGGUCGGGAACCUUUUAAAGGGGAACAUUAUCACCAGACCUAUGUAAGCGUUAAUAUAUACCUUGAUGUUGCAGAAAAAAGACCAUAUAUAUUUUUAACUGAUUUACGAACUCUAAAUGGGUGAAUUUUGGCGAAUUUAACGCCUCUCUGUUUAUCGCUCUUGGAGCGAUGACGUCAGAACGUGGCGUCACCUAGGUAAUAAAGUCAUUUUUAUUUUCUCAAACACAUUACAUACACCGGAUCUCAGCUCUGUUACUUUCCGUUUUUUCGACUAUUUUUUGGAACCUUGGAGACAUCAUGCCUCGUUGGUGUGUUGUCGGAGGGUGUAACAACACUAACAGUGAGGGAUUCAAGUGGCACCACUGGCCCGAAUAUGUGAAAGUGGCAAGAAAUCUGCUGCCAGACCCCAUUGAAUGUGCCGGAGUGUCUCCUCAUUUUACCGGCGAUGUUAGGACAGACAUGGCACAGAGAUGUAUGGAUAACCUGCAGAUGCAUUUGCAACGAUAAAGUCAACGAAAUCACAAAGGUGAGUUUUGUUGAUGUUGUUGACUUAUGUGCUAAUCAGAUAUAUUUGGUCGCGGCAUGACAGCCAGCUAAUCAAUGCUAACAUGCUAUUUAGGCUAGCUGUAUGUACAUUUGAAACUAGAUACCCACAUUUAAUGCGAAACAAACACUUACCAAUUGACGGAUUUAAGUUGCUCCAGUGUCACAAGAUGCGAAAGUCCUGAUCGUUUGGUCCGCACAUUUUACCGGUGAUGCUAAUGAGGCAGCUAUUCGGCCAUGGUAUGGCUGAAUAGCGUCAAUAGCUAUUCGCUCAAUAGCUUCAAUUUCUUCCUCAAUUUCGUUUUCGCUAUCUGCCUCCAUACUCCAACCAUUCGUUUCAAUACAUGCGUAAUGCGUUGAAUCCGAGCUAAUGUCACUAUAUCUUGCUGUGCUAUUCGCCAUUGUUUGUUACAUUGGCAGCACUGUAUGACGUCACAGGAAAAUGAACAGUGUCUUCGCAGAGAACGAAAAUAAGGCACUUUAGAGCUUUUCGUAGGGAUAUUCCGGGACGGCGAAAAUUUUGAAAAAAAAUUCAAAAAAUAAACAAGACACUGGGAACAGAUUUUUAUUGGUUUUAACCCUUUUGAAAUUCUAUAAUGUUCCCCUUUAACUGAGAGAGCCAUGAAAGCCAAAUAUUUUAAAAUGUAUUUCCGUUAGAGCCAUAUGAUAUAUUUUAACACUGAAUACAACUAAAUGCGUGCAUUUUUAAGUAAGACCAACAUUUUUAGAGUAUCAUAAGUCUUGUUCUUUUUAAUAACAUUGUUAUUCUGAAGCUAACCAAUAAUGAAUAAAAUACUUCUUACCAUUAAUGCCACUUCUUGAACAGGUGCGGUAGAAAACGGAUGGGUGGAUUAAAAUUUAUGAGAAGGUUUGAUAUUUUUAAUGUUAUUUUUUAACACUGUGAUUACCAGUGGAAUCAUUCAUUACUUAUAUUGUUAAACGAUGUCAGUUAAGAUUUACCUGAGAGCCAGAUGCAUCAAAAGAGCCACACCUGGCUCGAGAGCCAUAGGUUUCCUACCUCUGGUGUAUGGUAUGGAUGGUGUAUGAUGUAUAAUGUAAAAUGAAUUAUGUAUGAUGUAUGAUGUAUUAUAUAUGAUAUAUGAUAAAGUUAAAGUACCCAUGAUAAUCAUACAUACACGCACACACACACACACACACACACACACACACACACACACACACACACACACAUACGUGUUUGGGUGACAUAUGAGGACUUAUGACAAAAACGUGACAUAUGGGGACAUGCCUUUCCAAUGGUCUUACAGGCCUGGGAAUUAGACGGUUAGUGAACCAGAAUUUUAGACACACAGUGGUCUAUUGAGAUUUUUGCAACUCUUUUGUUUUUUUCUGAACCUGAUUUUUAUGGUACAUAUGAGGACUUGUCAGGUUUAGGUGACAAAUGAAGACCAGAGUGUUUAAGAUUUCAAGUUUAUGUGACAUAUGAUGACCAUGACGUCACAGAGUGUUUAAGAUUUCAGGUUCAUGUGACAUAUGAUGACCAUGACGUCACAGAGUGUUUAAGAUUUCAUGUUUAUGUGACAUAUGAUGACCAUGACGUCACAGAGUGUUUAAGAUUUCAAGUUUGUGAAAUAUGACAACCAUGACGUCACAGAGUGUUUAAGAUUUCAGGUUCAUGUGACAUAUGAGGCUAAUGACAUCAGAGACUUAACAAAACCACCUGAGUUGGUUUAGUUGAUGUGUUGUCAUUUAAAAAAAAAAUCCCAAUCCCAUGCUACUGUAAUCUAAAACCAAGAAGAGUUUAAAAGAAACAUGGGUAAAAAUGUAAUUGUCGAUUAAGUGUAACUGAAUUGUUUUUGUGGAUUUUGUCGCUAAAAAUUAUCUGGAAUAAAUACAAAACGCUUGCUGUUUAUUUUGCUUUUUUAAUUGCUGGUAACAUACUCAAACUACCACAGAAGAUGUGGGAAAACAUUUUUUUUUCCUUUUUUAAAUAUAAUUCUGUUAUGGAUGUAGUACUUGAUGUCAAGCCAA